GAGGUCUCAAGCGUUGUUCGGAUUCAUUGGGCGUAAAGGGUGCGUAGGCGGCGCGGUAAGUCGGGUGUGAAAUCUUGGAGCUUAACUCCGAAACUGCAUUCGAUACUGCCGUGCUUGAGGACUGGAGAGGAGACUGGAAUUUACGGUGUAGCGGUGAAAUGCGUAGAUAUCGUAAGGAAGACCAGUGGCGAAGGCGGGUCUCUGGACAGUUCCUGACGCUGAGGCACGAAGGCCAGGGGAGCAAACGGG
rnacentral:rRNA from 1 species